rfam:Asian citrus Psyllid, Diaphorina citri - Florida Strain, whole genome shotgun sequence.
GCCAGCGGUAAUAGCGCGUUGCAUUCACUAGUUCUCAACAGAUCAAUGAAGUUGAGUAACGUUGCGCGUGGUUGGUAUCUGGUUGGGUAACAGUCAGGACAAAUACUUGCUGCUAGUC